rnacentral:snRNA from 1 species
AUACUCGCUUCGGUGGCACAUAUACUAAAAAUUGAGAAGAUUAGCAUGGCCCCUGAGAAAGGAUGACACGCAAAAUCGUGAAGCGUUCAAUAUUUUU